rnacentral:rRNA from 1 species
CAGUCGCCGCGGUAAUACGUAGGGUGCGAGCGUUAAUCGGAAUUACUGGGCGUAAAGCGUGCGCAGGCGGUUCGUUAAGACAGAUGUGAAAUCCCCGGGCUUAACCUGGGAACUGCAUUUGUGACUGGCGAGCUAGAGUAUGGCAGAGGGGGGUAGAAUUCCACGUGUAGCAGUGAAAUGCGUAGAGAUGUGGAGGAAUACCGAUGGCGAAGGCAGCCCCCUGGGCCAAUACUGACGCUCAUGCACGAAAGCGUGGGGAGCAAACAGGAUUAGAUACCCGAGUAGUCCCUGUCUCUUAUAA